rnacentral:tRNA from 1 species
UGGCUCAGUGGUUAAGAGCACUGACUACUCUUCCAGAAGACCUGGGUUCAAUUCCCAG